AAGUUGUUCAGGAAAAUGCACUGGGCCACCGUUUCUAUUGUUAUUGUGCUUAGCUUUAUGUUGUAUUCUUCAAGUGAUUUCGGAGUGUCAACAUGGUGCAGGCGACCGAACUGCCAGAAACGCCCGAAGAAUAAGACCUGUCGUAAACCAUGCGUUGGAUACUUUUGCAUAAACGGAACUCUCAAGACUGAAAAGUGCUUCAGCUCAACUAUAGCAUCAAAAGACCCAAAAUGCAAAGUCUCUUUGGCCGAUCCUACCCAACGUUAUCCUGGAUGCUGUGGCGCAGUUCUUUGCAGUGGAGGGUAAUUGCGAGGAGCCAUUGUAAGGAAAUAUGAGCUUG